rnacentral:rRNA from 1 species
UACGUAGGGGGCAAGCGUUGUCCGGAUUUACUGGGCGUAAAGAGCGUGUAGGCGGCUUGGUAGGUCCGCUGUGAAAACUCGAGGCUCAACCUCGAGAUGUCGGCGGAAACCACUUGGCUAGAGUCCGGAAGAGGAGAGUGGAAUUCCUGGUGUAGCGGUGAAAUGCACAGAUAUCAGGAAGAACACCUAUGGCGAAGGCAGCUCUCUGGGACGGUACUGACGCUGAGACGCGAAAGCGUGGGGAGCGAACAGG